rnacentral:rRNA from 1 species
GAUGAACGCUAGCGGCAGGCUUAAUACAUGCAAGUCGAGGGGCAGCACGGGUAGCAAUACCUGGUGGCGACCGGCAAACGGGUGCGGAACACGUACGCAACUUUCCCAAAACUGGUGAAUAGCCCUCCGAAAGGAGGAUUAAUACACCGUAACAUAAUGAAGUGGCAUCACUUUAUUAUUAUAGCUCCGGCGGUUUUGGAUGGGCGUGCGCCUGAUUAGGUAGUUGGCGGGGUAACGGCCCACCAAGCCUUCGAUCAGUAACUGGUGUGAGAGCACGACCAGUCACACGGGCACUGAGACACGGGCCCGACUCCUACGGGAGGCAGCAGUAAGGAAUAUUGGACAAUGGGCGAAAGCCUGAUCCAGCAAUGCCGCGUGAGUGAUGAAGGCCCUAGGGUUGUAAAGCUCUUUUACCAGGGAUGAUAAUGACAGUACCUGGAGAAUAAGCUCCGGCUAACUCCGUGCCAGCAGCC